UUUUUUUGCAUAAUUAAAACUUCAUUUUAAACGCUCAAGAAGCUUCACUUAUUACACAGCAUCAACUGACUCAUGCGGCCUAAUCACAGAGAACAUUUGAUCUAAAUUUGCUCCCAUCGGUGCCGUUCCCAGGAUAGAUGCCGCAUUGCCUCGUUGGAUUUCGAUGCUGAUCCGCUGGCGCAGGAAUUCUGUGGCCCGCUUUUCGCCUUCUUAAAGCUUUCUUAAAACGUAGAAUUGCACAUAAAGAUGGUCGGACUAUUUGUGAGGCUGUGAGCAGCAGUUAUAUAUGCGCCAAGUACCGCAAUAAUACAGUGCAUAAUUACAAUGGAUGAAGAAGAGCAACAACAACGUCGUGUCGUACUUGCCUACAGUGGCAACAGCAUCACCGAUACAUUUAUCCAUAAGGGGACAUUGAUAUGGCUGGUGGAACAAGGGUACAGCGUUAUUGUAUUUUUGGCUAAUCUGGGCCAGAAAGAGGAUUUUCGUAAUACUGAGGAGGAAGCUUUGAGAUUAGGAGCCGCCAAGGUAAGUGCUUGUGGUAACAAAUUGCAGUUGCGUAUUCGCGCGAGCACCCGUAUAUUAUAGAAUUAUAGAUAUGUGCAGGUAAGGAGCAGAUGAGCUUAUCUACUUUUAAUAUUUAAACUGCUUAAUUAAGCGCAUAAUUACGAGAGCUGUAUAUUGUAUAUUAGCUUUAACAAGGAAGGUAGAUUGUAAUAUGUGCUAGGCUUAUGUCUGUUAAAUAAUUUUAUACAGAAUCUGAACGCAAUCGAUACUGCAUAUAACCUUACUUCUAUCAUUCUAUGGUAAGUAAAUAAGUUAUAAUUGUAUGGGACACGAAAAUUAUAAUGUUGUAUCCAGUUUAUUGUACGGUCAACACUUGGCGAAGUUGAAUAAAUUGAAACAGAAAAUCUGUAAAUUGUAAUACGAAAAACUUUAUUGUGAUUCAUAGAAAAGUAAAUGCGAGCGGUAGUGGGUGGCUGUUAUUAUUUAUAUAUGUUGAAGCGUGAUACAUGAAUUCACUGGAUGGGAAAAAAUGGUUAAUUACAUAUUUCUAUAACAUCUUUAAAAUUGCAAAAUUAGAUUUUUCAGCAGAUUAUCGCAGGCUUUACGUAUCGCAGUUAGUGUCGUAUGAUUUUGAAACACAAACAGCGGCUCAGCGGCUCUUAUAUAUAUGAUUUAGCAGUGAGCGUUUACAGACCGUAUGUAUUUUUAUAAAGGUGAUUAUCCAAGAUUGCCGGGAAGACUUUGUGGAGAACUAUAUGUGGACUUGGUUAAAAUCCAGUGCUCGCUACGAGGGCCGGUACAUGUGUGCCACACCAAUGUCCCGUUACUGUAUUGUGGAGAACCUUCUGAGGAUUGUUGUCAGCGAGCGUGCACACUGCACAGUAUAUGGCACAUGGAUGCAGUGCUAAAGGCAACGAUCAAAAUCGUUUCGAACUGAGCUGCAUUGCUUUACAACCGCAUAUAAAGGUCAUCGCUCCAUGGAGAAUCAGAGAAUUCUUCGAGAUUUUCAGCGAUCGGAACACUACCGAAGCGUAUCUUGCCGCACACGACCUUCCUAUUCCAGCCAGCUUAAACCGACCGUGGAGCACCGACGCUAAUAUUAUGAGCGUAAGCUUCGAAUAGGCAGCAUGUUAAACGAAACCGCUCAACGACCUCCCAGCCACAUGUAUGAGAUGACCACUGAUCCAAAAGAUUCUCCCAAUGAACCAGCCCAUGUCACCGUUUUCUUUCAAAAUGGAAUCCCAGUGAAAGUUUUGCACCGAAAUGGACGUGGAAAGGGUAUUGACGUUGUAUACGAAGGUUCGGUGGAAAUUAUGGAAUUUUUAAACAAGAUUGGGUAAGAUCGGUCACGGCACAUAUACGGUAAAAGCAGCUUCUAUGAGCAUCUAUGUCUUUAGUGGUUCAGCUUAUACGUUUCUCUAUUAGCAGAAUUAUUAACUGUACAACUAAACUAAACCAAUUACAAUGCAUAUAUUUAUCGAACUAAACUCUCUCUGUCCUCUUACUCCUCUAUAUAUAUGUUGUUAUUGGUUUGAACGCAUUAAACGUUUCAAUUUGAAAUGCUCAAAUCUCAAAUACAAGUAUACAAUGAUUAAUGAACGCUAAUUUUAUACAAACGGAAGAUAGAGAUUCUGGUUAUUUUUCAAUGUGUAAAAUUUUAACAGUGAAGUAGUUUAGGUAAUUUCGACGGCUAUUACAUAGUAAGAAAAUCCCAGUCAUGAACGAUAAUAAAUAGUGUAUGCUCGAUUUACAUAUCGAGCAAGCGAAUUAGUCAGAAUGACCAUGCGAUAACAGGGUUGCUGAACAGGGGCGAACACGGGGUAGGGCGACUGGAUAUCGUAGAGAAUCGGUCUAUGGGGAUGAAAUCUCGAGGCAUUUACGAGUCACCGGGAGCCGACAUAUUGUUUCUCGCACAUGAAGAUCGAUCUGGAAACGCUAACAAUGGACCGGGAAGUUCGUAAACUCAAGCAAAUGAUGGCUGAGCAAUUUGUGGAUCAAAUGUACCGAGGAUUUUGGUUCGCACCGGAGUGCAAGUACGCGCGGGAGUGUAUCGCUCUAAGCCAGGACUCAGUGUGCGGAUCGGUGACAUUAAUGUUAUACAAAGGUGGCGCACACGUUAUCGCGCGCCAUUCUCACAUUCCGUAUUACAACAAAAAACUUGCAAGUCCGGCAGUUGAGGAUGGAGAUGAUUACAACCCAGCCGAUGUCGAUGGAUUUAUCAAGAUCACCGGCAUUCGGCUCCAGGAGGCGGCUAGAAUUCGUGCUUGGAAGGACAAUGGAAACAACCGAGAGAACUAAUAAUUGUAAAGGGAACUGGCAUUAAUAUCGCUCGAAGCUAACACCGUUGCCUAAUGUAGUUAGUUUUCAUUUGUUUUAUUCACAAUAUAUUAAAUUUAUCCAACGUGUGAUCAAAAAUUUUGUGUGCGUAAAAUGAGUUUUACUUUCAUGCUGAUUUCUACAUGUCCACACGAGUGCCAAGCGCAUAUUUCAUUUAUUUUGGUAACAUUUUAAAUGAUUAAUUUCUGAGGGUGACUGGUUAACUGUACGGCAUUGUUUGACUCUGUUUUACGUUCUGUAUUCUUAAGAAAUGCAGCAGCAUAAA